GGUUUAGCUUGCAGGAUAAAUCUAAACAAAACAUUACUUCAUGAAAAAAAAAUGUUCCUUUCUGAAGAUGAACUUUCCUUUGACAGAUGUGCCCAACCAGAGGCAGCUGCAGGGAAAUGUCCAGAUGUACUACAGGGAUCAUAAAUCUGCCCAUGUCCCAUGUCACAGCCAUGCUCAUGGAGAGCGUUUCUAAGACUUCAGCUUGUUGCACCAGCAACAGGCAGCCUGAAAGUUCUCCAGGCUCAGCUUCCUCUUUCAAGUGGAUACCAAUCUGCAAUGCCUGCAAUAGGAUAGGCUCCAGUUCCACCUCCCAGACAUGUCAUGGACACCACAGAGAGCACAGCUGUGCAGGGGGAGUCCUGCUCAAUGUAUGAAAUUCAGGUGAGCACCCAUGUCAGAGGGGGGCUGUUGCUCAAAUCUCAGCCUGUUCUGUGACUAACAACUCUGGGAAAACUCCAGAUGUUUGAGACACACAGAAUUCUUCUUGGGUGUUCAUCCUACUAGGAGGAACAGAAAAAAGACAAGCAGUCCAAGAUACUUUGAAGUGAAAUUUGUUAAUGGAUAAUACUUCUCAUAUUUUCCCCUAUGGACAAGAGGAAUUGAGCACAGGAAUUCUUCAGUCUUCAGGGAAGGAUCACAACUAAUGAGGAAACAACAACCCUUUUCUGAGAAUAAUACUGUUUAUUUUUUAAACUGUAUGCAGUCUUUACACAAGUAAUGUUGUUAUGAAAGUGAUGACUUAGGAAUACAAGAGGCAUGGCUGUAUGUACAGACGAACAUCUUUCUCCAUGGCAAGUGACUGACCACAAGACAGCUGGUGGGAAAAGCUUUGUUUCAGUCAGAAAGAUGAAGUGUUGGACUCUGUUUCUUGAAGCAUGUUUUCGCACGAGGUGUGGAAAUGAG